rnacentral:rRNA from 1 species
GUGGGGAAUAUUGGACAAUGGGCGCAAGCCUGAUCCAGCCAUGCCGCGUGAGUGAUGAAGGCCCUAGGGUUGUAAAGCUCUUUCACCGGUGAAGAUAAUGACGGUAACCGGAGAAGAAGCCCCGGCUAACUUCGUGCCAGCAGCCGCGGUAAUACGAAGGGGGCUAGCGUUGUUCGGAAUUACUGGGCGUAAAGCGCACGUAGGCGGGUAUUUAAGUCAGGGGUGAAAUCCCAGAGCUCAACUCUGGAACUGCCUUUGAUACUGGGUACCUAGAGUAUGGAAGAGGUAAGUGGAAUUCCGAGUGUAGAGGUGAAAUUCGUAGAUAUUCGGAGGAACACCAGUGGCGAAGGCGGCUUACUGGUCCAUUACUGACGCUGAGGUGCGAAAGCGUGGGGAGCAAACAGGAUUAGAUACCCUUGUAGUCC